AGCAGCAGCCGCGGGAAUACGAAGGGGGCUAGCGUUGCUCGGAAUGACUGGGCGUAAAGGGCGCGUAGGCGGCGAUCAAAGUCAGGCGUGAAAUUCCUGGGCUCAACCUGGGGGCUGCGCUUGAUACUUGGUUGCUUGAGUGGGGAAGAGGGUCGUGGAAUUCCCAGUGUAGAGGUGAAAUUCGUAGAUAUUGGGAAGAACACCGGUGGCGAAGGCGGCGACCUGGUCCUUGACUGACGCUGAGGCGCGAAAGCGUGGGGAGCAAACAGGAUUAGAGACCCGAGUAGUCCCUGUCUCUUAUAC
rnacentral:rRNA from 1 species